GGCAAAGUUGGCAUGUGAUACCUUUUCGGAAAGCCCAAAGACAGCCCUCCGACGAAAUAAGCAGGACAAUGGAACUUUUCCAUUGACUUUUUGUCGACCCCAAAUUUUGACCUUUAAGUACUUUUUCGGGCAUUUUCGUGAUUUGGGCUAUAUUACGGACCCAAAAUUACUUGUUCAAGCAUUGUUUUCGAAUUUUUUCAUGCAUCAAAGCUCGUUAAGACUAGAUGGGGUAUCCCUACAUAGCGGGUGGGACCCACGGCGAAUGGUUCAUCAAGUCUUCAAAAAAGAAUAUAUACGAUUGCAUUGCAUAUACUAACGGAUGCGAUCAUACCAGCACUAAUGCACAGGAUCCCAUCAGAACUCCGCAGUUAAGCGUGCUUGGGCGAGAGUAGUACUAGGAUGGGUGACCUCCCGGGAAGUCCUCGUGUUGCAUCCCUCUUUUAUGUUUAACCUUUUUUUUUUUGGUUAAAACUUUAUGACUCCAUAACUUCUACACAG
rnacentral:rRNA from 1 species